AGCGGUAGAGAGAAGCUUGCUUCUCUUGAGAGCGGCGGACGGGUGAGUAAUGCCUAGGAAUCUGCCUGGUAGUGGGGGAUAACGUUCGGAAACGGACGCUAAUACCGCAUACGUCCUACGGGAGAAAGCAGGGGACCUUCGGGCCUUGCGCUAUCAGAUGAGCCUAGGUCGGAUUAGCUAGUUGGUGAGGUAAUGGCUCACCAAGGCGACGAUCCGUAACUGGUCUGAGAGGAUGAUCAGUCACACUGGAACUGAGACACGGUCCAGACUCCUACGGGAGGCAGCAGUGGGGAAUAUUGGACAAUGGGCGAAAGCCUGAUCCAGCCAUGCCGCGUGUGUGAAGAAGGUCUUCGGAUUGUAAAGCACUUUAAGUUGGGAGGAAGGGCAGUUACCUAAUACGUGAUUGUUUUGACGUUACCGACAGAAUAAGCACCGGCUAACUCUG
rnacentral:rRNA from 1 species